UAGUGGCGGACGGGUGAGUAACGCGUGAGAACAUGCCUUUAGAUUGGGGACAACAGUUGGAAACGACUGCUAAUACCGAAUGUGCCUUAGGGUGAAAGAUUUAUUGUCUAGAGAUUGGCUCGCGUCAGAUUAGCUAGUUGGAGUGGUAACGGCACACCAAGGCGACGAUCUGUACUUGGUCUGAGAGGAUGACCAGGCACACUGGAACUGAGACACGGUCCAGACUCCUACGGGAGGCAGCAGUGGGGAAUUUUCCGCAAUGGGCGAAAGCCUGACGGAGCAAUACCGCGUGAGGGAGGACGGCUUUUGGGUUGUAAACCUCUUUUAUCAGGGAAGAAUCGAUGACGGUACCUGAUGAAUCAGCAUCGGCUAACUCCGUGCCAGCAGCCGCGGUAAUACGGAGGAUGCAAGCGUUAUCCGGAAUUAUUGGGCGUAAAGCGUCCGUAGGUGGUUUAUCAAGUCUGCUGUCAAAGCGUGCGGCUUAACCGCAUAAGGGCAGUGGAAACUGAUGAACUAGAGUGCGAUAGGGGUAACAGGAAUUCCCAGUGUAGCGGUGAAAUGCGUAGAUAUUGGGAAGAACACCAGCGGCGAAAGCGUGUUACUGGGUCUGCACUGACACUGAGGGACGAAAGCUAGGGGAGCGAAAGGGAUUAGAUACCCCUGUAGUCCUAGCCGUAAACGAUGACAACUAGGCGUGGUUCGUAUCGACCCGAGCCGUGCCGUAGCCAACGCGUUAAGUUGUCCGCCUGGGGAGUACGCACGCAAGUGUGAAACUCAAAGGAAUUGACGGGGGCCCGCACAAGCGGUGGAGUAUGUGGUUUAAUUCGAUGCAACGCGAAGAACCUUACCAAGGCUUGACAUCCUCGGAACCCUGAUGAAAGUUAGGGGUGCCUUCGGGAGCCGAGAGACAGGUGGUGCAUGGCUGUCGUCAGCUCGUGUCGUGAGAUGUUGGGUUAAGUCCCGCAACGAGCGCAACCCACGUUUUUAGUUGCCAGCAUUCAGUUGGGCACUCUAGAGAGACUGCCGGUGACAAACCGGAGGAAGGUGUGGAUGACGUCAAGUCAGCAUGCCCCAUACGCCUUGGGCUACACACGUACUACAAUGCGUCGGACAAAGAGCAGCCAGCCAGCGAUGGUGAGCCAAUCUCAUAAACCGGCGCUCAGUUCAGAUUGCAGGCUGCAACUCGCCUGCAUGAAGGCGGAAUCGCUAGUAAUCGCAGGUCAGCAUACUGCGGUGAAUACGUUCCCGGGCCUUGUACACACCGCCCGUCACACCAUGGGA
rnacentral:rRNA from 1 species